GGAAUCUAUAGCGUCUUGAGCUGAAUUAAGACUUCAGAAGUCAUUCGUCAUGUCGAAUGACCAGCGGAUAAACUCUCAGGUGAAGAGCCUGAGGCCGGUGACACUCCAGUUCUACUCUAAGUACAUCCUUACAGUGGCUCACAGGACAAGGCGACAUUCCUGUCCUGCCAGAAGAGAAACUUCAGAGUCUUCAUGAAGUUCAACCACACCUGUCAUAUUCCAUAUGACAGAGGUCUCAAACUCCAUUCCUCGAAGGUCG
ensembl:lncRNA